AGGCCAGGGCAAAAAAAUAAAUAGGGGAACAUCUUCUGAUGAGGGGGCAAGCUUUGUUAAAUUUCUGAAAGAAAAAAUAUUAGGGGGCAUAGGUACUGGCAUAGGCACCCAGCCCCCACCACAUGCCCCAUGAAGGGGCCGGGCACCCACAAAUUUUCAUGCUGCGACCAUGCACAUGGCAGGGACGUGCACGUCUGAUGUCAGCAUGCCCACUGGCACAAGAAUUUGACAUCAGCAGGGGCCAGGAUAGAAGGCUGUGACAUCCCGCAUGCCAUGUUUUUUCAGGACGAUGACAGACCCUCUAAGCAGCCCUAUUUUCCAGGGACGUCCCUGAAUUAGAGAAGCUGUCCCAGUUUCUGAGAUGAUCCCGGAAUCUCCCACUUUUCCUUAAGAUGUCCCUAUUUUCAUUGGAGAAAUGUUGGAGGGUAUGGAAUUAUCCGCCCCCCGAGCCGUCUGAAGGGAAACCUGUAUAGGGAAGUUUUUAAAAAUGUUUAAUGUUUUAUUAUGUUUUUAUACAGUAUAUGUUGGAAGCUGCCCAGAGUGGCUGGGCAACCCAGUAAGAUGUGUGGGGUAUAUAUAAAUAGUAAAAUAUUCUUAUGUAGUGGGAUGUCCCUAUUUUCAUCGGAGGAGUGUUGGAGGAUAUGUGACGAGGAACUCUUUGGUGGACAGCAUUUACCCACCUCAAAAAAAUGUCAAAGAUUGUAGACAGGAGGCUCUGAGAUUACAUAGAAUCAUAGAAUUGUAGAAUUGGAAGGGACCCCGAGGGUCAUCUUGUGUCCAACUCCCUGCAAUGCAGGAAUCUCAACUAAAGCUUCCAUGACAGAUGGGUGCAAGCUCCCUUUGUUCCUUGGGUGCAGCUCAUCAGGCCCUCAAUAUUUGAAUUCAUUUAAAGUAGCUUGGUGUUCCCUUACCACCUUUUUUCCUGUCUUGAGCUGCAGCUCCCUCCUUGGGGAAAAUAGGCUAAUAUUAGAGACAAUUUAAGUGGAAGCAUUUCACAUAAAUACAGACUCGGGUAAUUGCCAUAGCUGUCAACAUUUCCCUAUUUUUAAGAGAAAUUCCCUUAUUCUGAAUAGGAUUCCUCGCAAGAAAAGGGAAAAGUUGACAGCUAUGGUCAUUGCUAUUCACGUCUAUGGAGGAAAGAAAAAGCAGCAUUGUGUGCAUGCCCUCUAGAGGUUGAGACUGUACAGCACUGGAAUGAUUACCGGUACAUAACUUUACAAAGGAAGGAAGGAAGGGGGGAGGAGAAGGGAAGGAAGGGAAUAGAAGAGAAGAAAACCACCCUGAAAAGGCCCAUUAAAAAAGAAAUGAACAACUGGUGGGGGGCAGGCAAGGAGUAUUGGUGGGCUGGGUGCCCCAGGGGCUGUCUGAGCACAUGCUGCUCAUAUGCUAUUCUGAGGCCUCCAGAUUUACAUGAAAUUUAACAGCUAUAUAAGGACCAUCUUUGGGGUGGCCAAACCAGUAAGGGAAUCUCCCAAUUUCCUCUACACUACUAUACCUGCCACUGCUCCAGCUGCCUAAUUAAAGUAGGGAAGAGGUGAAGGGGAUGCUGUAGGUUUGAUGGGGAGGCCCCGGGUUAGUCUUGCAUUCUGCCUCUAUCACACUAAAGGUGACAGAAAUACGCUUGUAUUAGAUAAGAUGCUGAAUAUGAUGGGGGAGGAAACUGGGUAGAGAGAAGGCAAGGAUCUGCAGAGGAGGGACAUAAUAUAUUACUGUAUGGUGUCAUUCCCCAGGUCUCACUGGGGUAUACAGUGGUGAGGGGCAUGAUGACAGCUGCAGAGCAUGAGGUGACCCCGUGACAACAGAGAUAGUACCUGAGUAAAACAAUCUAUCCCAAGGCCUAAACAAGACAUGGUACAGGAAAUGCAUAAGUGGGAUUUUCCACAUUUUUUAAAAGAGUCAAUAGCAAGGGAGAUAUUUAGAUUGGGAUUGCACAACUAAGGAAGAGGGGUUUAACCCUUUUCCCUGUGCCAAUUUUCUAUGUAUCCAUCCAAAGCUGCUAUAUAUUCCUUGAAAGGAGGAGGAGGUACAAUACAAUACACCGAGGUCAUAAUGAUACACAGUAUGCUAUGCUAGAUUCCAAAAGGUGGUGCUAGGGGAUUUCUAUUCAGCCCAUGAUUGUGGCUUUUCCUUGUGCUGUUUGACAUCUAUAGGAAACCACUGUCUGAGAUUGUAAGGGGAUGUGGGCUGAGAUGUGGUCAGGACAAUGUUGGCACCUGGCUCUGCUCCUUUUCAUCUGACUCAAACAGAUUGGCCUUGGGGCUCAAUCAGUGCCUGGGAGCUGUGAAGAGAUUUAUGUGGUUAAAUUAUAACUAUAAAAUGUAGUUUUAUAAUUAAAAAUUGCAGCAUUGAUGAUGUGCAGAUCUUGUAGAUUUGAGGUGUUUCUACAUGCCCCUUAAGAACAGGUCUUAAGGGUGCCACAUUCCUAAAAGGAAACACAAACUGUGGAGGAGCACAAGGAACCCCUGGAAUUUUGCACUGCUCAGAGAUUGGGGUGGCAUGUGACAGUGCAGUGGUGGAGCGUAUGCUAAUGCUGCCUGGGGCAGGCAUGUGGGACGUGCCCCCAACGGAGGCAGGGCACAGAGUGAGCCCACUGUGGCUUGCCUCACAAAGCAGCAUAGGGGACACACUUGUGUGCUUCGGCCCAGGCAAGGAGAGGGGCAGGGAAGCUGCUGCCAGCUCUCCUCUCUCUGUGCCUGGCUCAGGCUUGACCCAAGGGUGGAGCUGCGGCUGGUGGCAUUGGGCCAUCACACAAGGAAGCUGCCUGUGCAGCUCCCUCACACACUAAAGCAAGGCUCCAGUGAGGAAGCCUGUUAUGGGGUACCAGUUUGUGCCCCCUCAAAAUAUGUGCCCAGGGUGCCAGAGAGUCAAGAUGACUAGAUGGAAAAUAGUCAUACCAUGGGCAAAAUUUCCUUAUUUGUAUAACUUAUUUCCCUAUUUGUAUAACUUAGUACCGUAAUUCCAAAAUAUAGACGCGCUUUUACUCCUGCAAGAUUGAAUACUGCCUUUGGCUGUACAACUUCAUUGUCCAGAAAGUGGGAGAAGCAACAAGAGGAACAGCCAUUUUAGAUCUGGUCCUAACCAAUGUUGAUGACCUGGUUAGUGGGGUAGAAGUGGAAGGAUCAUUAGGCGCGAGUGAUCAUGCUCUUCUGAAGUUUACUAUACAGCGGAAAGGAGCAGCCAAGCAUACUAGGACUCAAUUUCUUGACUUUAAGAAAGCCGACUUCAUAAAACUUAGGGAAGUGCUGGGUGAGAUCCCAUGGACAGUAAUACUAAAAGGAAAGGGAGUUCAUGAUGGCUGGGAGUUUGUUAAGAGGGAGAUAGUAAAAGCACAACUUCAGGCAAUACCAAUGAGACGGAAACAUGGAAGGUGCCUAAAGAAGCCAGGGUGGCUAUCUAAAGAACUUUUAACUGAGUUAAGAUUAAAAAGGAUGUGUACAAAAAAUGGAAAAGGGGAACCCACCAAAGAGGAAUUCAAACAAAUAGCCAGCACAUGUAGACACAAAGUCAGAAAAGCUAAAGCACAGAAUGAACUCAGGCUUGCGAGAGACGUUAAAAGCAACAAAAAGGCUUUUAUGGGUAUGUUCGUAGCAAAAGGAAGAACAAAGAAACAGUGGGGUCACUCAGAGGAGAAGAUGGUGAAAUGCAAACAGGGGACACAGAAAGGGCUGAACUCCUCAACGCCUUCUUUGCCUCAGUCUUCUCCGAUAAAGAAAACAAUGCCCGACCUGAAGAAUUUGGAGCAAAUGAUUCAGCAGAGGAAACACAGCCCAGAAUAACUAAGGAGAUAGUACAAGAAUACUUGGCUAGUUUAGAUGUAUUCAAGUCUCCAGGGCCAGAUGAACUGCAUCCAAGAGUAUUAAAAGAACUGGCAGAUGUGAUCUCAGAACCACUGGCAGUCAUCUUUGAGAAUUCCUGGAGAACAGGCGAAGUCCCGGCAGACUGGAGGAGGGCAAAUGUUGUCCCUAUUUUCAAAAAGGGAAAAGAGAGGACCCAAAUAAUUACCGCCCAGUCAGUCUGACAUCAAUACCAGGGAAGAUUCUGGAGCAGAUCAUUAAGCAAACAGUCUGUGAGCACCUAGAAAGGAAUGCUGUGAUCACCAAUAGUCAGCAUGGAUUUCUGAAAAAUAAGUCAUGUCAGACUAACCUGAUCUCGUUUUUUGACAGAAUUACAAGCCUGGUAGAUGAAGGGAACGCAGUGGAUGUAGCCUACCUUGAUUUCAGCAAGGCAUUUGACAAGGUGCCCCAUGAUAUUCUUGUAAAGAAGCUGGUAAAAUGCGGUCUUGGCUAUGCUACCACUCAGUGGAUUUGUAACUGGCUGACUGACCGAACCCAAAGGGUGCUCAUCAAUGGUUCCUCUUCAUCCUGGAGAAGAGUGACUAGUGGGGUGCCACAGGGUUCUGUCUUGGGCCCGGUCUUAUUCAACAUCUUUAUCAACGACUUGGAUGAUGGACUCAAGGGCAUCCUGAUCAAAUUUGCAGAUGACACCAAACUGGGAGGGGUGGCUAACACCCCAGAGGACAGGAUCACACUUCAAAACGACCUUGACAGAUUAGAUAACUGGGCCAAAACAAACAAGAUGAAUUUUAACAGGGAGAAAUGUAAAUGUAAAGUAUAAAAAAUGAGAGGCACAAAUACAAGAUGGGUGACACCUGGCUUGAGAGCAGUACAUGUGAAAAGGAUCUAGGAGUCUUGGUUGACUACAAACUUGACAUGAGCCAACAGUGUGACGCGGCAGCUAAAAAAGCCAAUGCAAUUCUGGGCUGCAUCAAUAGGAGUAUAGCAUAUAGAUCAAGGGAAGUAAUAGUGCCACUGUAUUCUGCUCUGGUCAGACCUCACCUGGAGUACUGUGUCCAGUUCUGGGCACCACAAACUGGAACGUGUCCAGAGGAGGGCAACCAAAAUGGUCAAAGGCCUGGAAACGAUGCCUUAUGAGGAACGGCUAAGGGAGCUGGGCAUGUUUAGCCUGGAGAAGAGGAGGUUAAGGGGUGAUAUGAUACAGUGGUGCCUCGCAAGACGAAAAGAAUCCGUUCCGCGAGUCUCUUCGUCUUGCGGGUUUUUUCGUCUUGCGAAGCAAGCCCAUUAGAGGUUUAGCGGCUUAGCGCUACAGUAUUAGUGGCUUAGCCGGCUUAAAGAUCAGCUGAUAAGCGGCUUAACGAUCAGCUGAUAAGCGGCUUAACGAUCAGCUGAUAAGCGGCUUAGCACCAGCUGUUAAGCGGCUUAAAGAUCAGCUGAUAAGCGGCUUAGCCAUCAGCUGAUAAGCGGUUUAGCGGCUUGGGAAAAAGGGGGGGGGAGGAAAAAAAACCCGCAGGAACUCGCAAGACAUUUUCGUCUUGCGAAGCAAGCACAUAGGAAAUUCGUUUUGCGAAGCACCUCCAAAACGGAAAACCCUUUCGUCUAGCGGGUUUUCCGUCUUGCGAGGCAUUCGUCUUGCGGGGCACCACUGUAGCCAUGUUCAAAUAUAUAAAAGGAUGUCACAUAGAGGAGGGAGAGAAGCGGACACGGAGCAGUGGAUCCAAACUACAAGAAAGAAGAUUCCACCUAAACAUUAGGAAGAACUUCCUGAUAGUAAGAGCUGUUCGACAGUGGAAUUUGCUGCCAAGGAGUGUGGUGGAGUCUCCUUCUUUGGAGGUCUUUAAGCAGAGGCUUGACAACCAUAUGUCAGGAGUGCUUUGAUGGUGUUUCCUUGGCAGGGGGUUGGACUCGAUGGCCCUUGUGGUCUCUUCCAACUCUAUGAUUCUAUGAUUCCAAAAAAUUCCACUCGAAAAAGGGUUAUGUGCCUGUAGAGAUGGUAGUACUGAAUCAGUGGCUCAUGUCCUUCUGGCUUGCACUCUAUAUAAAGAUUUGAGGAGUGAGCUUAUCACCCCUCUAUUAUUGUCCAUUCCGGGUCGCCCAACCACUGUUACAGCAAGAUGUGCAGGUGACAGCAAAGGUUGCAAAGUUUUUAACCCGGGCAAUUAGAAUAAGAUCCGUUAUUUGAUUGUUGAUCCAAAUCCCCAAAAUGUAUUUUAUAUAAUUGACUUUACCUUUAUCCUCUGUAUACAGUGGUGCCCCGCAAGACGAAUGCCUCGCAAGACGAAAAACCCGCUAGACGAAAGGGUUUUCGGUUUUUUGAUGCGCUUCGCAGGAUGAAUUUCACCAUGGGCUUGCUUCGCAAGACGAAAAUGUCUUGCGAGUCUUGAGAUUUUUUUUGCUUUCCCCCCCCCUUUUUCUAAGCCGCUAAUAGCCUUUUAGCCGCUAAGCUGCUAAGCCAUUAAUAGCCACUAAACUGCUAAUAGCGCUAAUCCGCUAAGCCGCUAAUAGGGUUGCUUCGCAAGACGAAAAAACCGCUAGACGAAGAGACUCGCGGAACGGAUUAAUUUCGUCUUGCGAGGCACCACUGUACUGCAUUCUGCUUGUUUUAUUGCUGUUAUGGCUGGUGGCUGAUGUAAAUAAAGAUUCAUUCAUUCAAUAUGUCCCCGGGGCCACAGCGCCCCCCCCCCCCCGCUACACCACUGCAAUGGUAUGUUUCUUCAUCCUUGGAGCAGUCUUAUGUGCCACCUGAAACCUGCGUAGCAUCUAGUAAGGCAACUGUCUGUUGCCUCUCACAUUCAGUCUUCAGACCAUGACCAAAGGCAGGCUCCCUGUCUUCAACAUGAGGCAGCUUUCCCCCUCUGCACUGAGCCUAGUGUAGAGUUCUGGAGAACCCGAAGGAUGGCUCCCUAUUUUGUGACAUUUUAAUUUGCCUAAUAAAGAUACUGCCCAGCUACAGAUUUUGGAAUUUCAGUUAUAAAAGGCAUGGAACCCUGUGUCUAUAUAAAUGUGCCAAAAUUAUCUCUUUUGUGCUGCAUAAACCACUAAAUCCUUCCCAAACUUGCAACUAGAACCUGGGAUCCAGAGUCCCCCUCUUUUCCCAGCUGUGUUGGCCAUGAGCAACUGAUUCCAGCAGAGGGAAGAGGGGGCAGGCCGUGAGCAGUGGCAACAAGCGCUAUAAAUAACCAUCUGGGAACAUUGAGUGCUGUGCUGACGCAUGUUACACAACUAAUACGCAGCGACCCCGGCCCAGCACACACACACACACCCCUUGCACUUAAUUCCCUCUCACUUUGUGCUUUUAUGCCUCCUUGCUCUCCUUCCUUAUCUGUGUGCUGCUUCCUUUCAACUUCUCUUUCCAAAACUGAUCUAUGACAUAUGAUGCCUGAGGCAGAAUACAGAACCAGCAGUCGCCUUGCACAUGCAAGGAAGCUAUUGUGCUGAAAUGCUCUUCAUUUCAAUGGGCCUUGUGCUGGGAGCAUUUCCUGGUUUAUAUGUGUGAAAAAAGGGGGGUCAGACUGGUCUGGCUCCUUGCUCAGUAUGAGGCCCCAAAGCUGCCAAAUUUGUCUCUUCUACUACCUGUCUACCCCCCCCAUCCAAAACAUUAUGCACUGACUCCUUGCUGCAAUUCAAAACAGGGCUCCUCUUCCUGCCUUCCAGAUUAGUGGCAGGUUCAGUUUAAGGACUUACAGAAAGGAUUAUUCCCAUCUCACACAUAUUUCCUUAGCUGUGGAGUAGUCACCAAAGAUAAAGCUGUGAAUCCAUAGGGGGUUUCCUAGAAUGAGCUAAGGCUACCACAUUCACACAGAGCCGGAGGAAAUGAAGGGUCAAAUCAGAGGACAAUAGGAGGUGUGAGUUCUGUGCUCCAGAGAAACCAAGGCCCUUGGAGCAGCCACAGAACCAUCUUCCCACUGCCCCACCUGAUGUUUUGCCCAGACAAAGGUACUACACAUGCACUAGCUCUGUCCUAUCUGGUUGCUCUCCACCUUAUCGUCCUUGCUGGGUUUGUUGAUCCUGCCUGGCUGGCGUAAGAGGGAUCUGGGCUGAGCACCAAGAUAGCCUGGCUUGAUGCCAGCUCCUUACAUAACAGCAGUGAGUGGCUUGUGUAAUCUGAAAUGUGUAGUGUGUGCAUGGAUAAAGAACAUUGGGUGCUGGGAAAUAGGGAGGUUAUGUCAAGUGCACCUGCAACCUGCUUCAUAGUACUUCCCACCUGGCAAAACCUUGCUUUGUCUCACCGUACUUAGGGUUCAUAUAAUUGUGAUAAGAUAAGACAGCAGAAUCAACAUCUUUGGUGCAAUUCUGAAACAGGGAGCUUCACAGGAACACUACCAAAACAAAUACAAACUUGGGCAUGUUAGGGUAGAAAUAUAUACAGUAGUGGUCUUGGAGAAGGGUGGAGAUGCAUUUGCUCUACACACACACACACACACACACACACACACAAUUUCAGUCCACGUACUCUCAAAUUUAUUCUUUGUCAAAGCAUUUGUCACUCUGGAUUACAAAAGGAAGGAUAUUAUCUUUUUUUUUGAGGCACCACCACCAAAUUGAUGGCACAGCAAGGUACCAUCAGGUUGUGCCCAGGAAGACGAAAUGAAUCCCUAGCCGGAAUUAAGAUUGCCGGAAGAAAUAUCAACAACCUCAGAUAUGCAGAUGACACAACAAUGAUGGCAGAAAGUGAGGAGGAAUUAAAGAACCUUUUAAUGAGGGUGAAAAAGGAGAGCGCAAAAUAUGGUUUGAAGCUCAACAUCAAAAAAACAAAGAUCAUGGCCACUGGUCCCAUUACCUCCUGGCAAAUAGAAGGGGAAGAAAUGGAGGCAGUGAAAGAUUUUACUUUAUUGGGCUCCAUGAUCACUGCAGAUGGUGACAGCAGCCACGAAAUUAAAAGACGCCUGCUUCUUGGGAGAAAAGCAAUGACAAACCUAGACAACAUCUUAAAAAGCAGAGACAUCACCUUGCUAACAAAGGUCUGUAUAGUUAAAGCUAUGGUUUUCCCAGUAGUGAUGUAUGGAAGUGAGAGCUGGACCAUAAAGAAGGCUGAUCGCCAAAGAAUGGAUGCUUUUGAAUUAUGGUGCUGGAGGAGACUCUUGAGAGUCCCAUGGACUGCAAGAAGAUCAAACCUAUCCAUUCUUAAGGAAAUCAGCCCUGAGUGCUCACUGGAAGGACAGAUCCUGAAGCUGAGGCUCCAAUACUUUGGCCACCUCAUGAGAAGACUCCCUGGAAAAGACCCUGAUGUUGGGAAAGAUGGAGGGCACAAGGAGAAGGGGACGACAGAGGACGAGAUGGUUGGACAGUGUUCUCGAAGCUACCAGCAUGAGUUUGACCAAACUGCGGGAGGCAGUGGAAGACAGGAGUGCCUGGCGUGCUCUGGUCCAUGGGGUCACGAAGAGUCGGACACAACUAAAUGACUAAACAACAAAAUGUGUGAUUACUGUACUGAAUUUGCAAUAACAGCAUGCCCUUACUUAAGGCAAGCUUUUGUGGGCCAGAGUUUUUGAACAAGGACACAGUGGGCGCUUAGAAGUGCCUCACUUUGGUUGCAUCAUGCCCCAGGCUAGAGGGGAAAAGAUUUAAACAAAACGAAGAUUUAUUCUGGAGAAAGUGAUUCAGCCAUAUAAGAUGCCCUGACGUGCCCCCAAGGCCACCUGAGGUGAACAGCAGUAACCUCAGCGCUGCCCUAGACCUGCCCCAUCUUGUUUUGCCUCCCUCACUGCACUUUGCUCGCACAUGUGCUUGUCUGUUACAACCAUUUCCUAGAAGGUCAGAGUAAAUUAUUACCUCACAGGAACGCUGCCAGCUGACCAAGGGGAGGAGGCGAAGCAACAGUACAGGAAAAGGAGAGGGCCGAGGUAACGCUACCAGAGAGCAAGUCAGAGUUGGGAGAGAAUCAAAACUAGGCUUGCCAACAGGCAGAGCAGUCCCAAGCCCAGAGCCCGAAAUAGUUAUAGGCUUCAAAACUUCUGCAGAAAAGAACACAUUUAACACAAAACAACAACAACAUAGCUCUUGCUUGCGUUGCUGGGUUUUCACUGGGUUUGAAGGAAGAUCGGAAGGCAAAAAGUCUUUCUCCAAUUGGUCUUUCUCCAAAAUAAGUGUGACUAGGACUGCAGCCUUAAACUAAAUAUGGCCCUGUCAAUGGUGACUGAGCAUGCUAUGCUGAACUGAAGGUGGAAUCUGAGCAAACAUCCUGAUUUACCGUACUUCCAGGAGGCAGCUCAAUUUUCUGGUGCCUUCGCAUUAAUCACCAUUCCUGUUUGCCUCCUACUUUACAUUUGGGCUAAUUUUAGAGGGUGUUUUGUAUUUGUCAGUGUAAGUUGCUGGAGAUCCUGCAGCUUUCAGCCACCUCCACUGAGUUUCCAGAAAUCAAUUACUGUAUCCGACAGUGCAACUCAGAAGUACGCCCUGUUAAGUUCAGUGAGACUCACUCCUAGGUAAGCUGGUACAGGAUGGCAUCUUGAGGGCAGGACAGUUGCAUCUUCACUCUAGGAGUUUGCGAAUCAAGGUAGUGGCGGACCUUGAGGUCUCAAAUUUCAGCAGCAAAUCUCUCGCUCCAGUACCUGAUUCCCUCAGUAAGCAAUCAGUUCAGUCUGCUGGCAAAAGCAAUCUUUCCCUUCCUCCAUGUGGGGAGGAAAAGAGACAGAGAAAAGUCCCAGUCCCUUGGGGGCUCUGGCCCCACCAACUGCAUGAUACCUUAGCAUCCAUGAGAAUGCAUUGACAAGAGAGACAUCUCUGCCCCCGCAGAGAAAUGGCAAGCCUUUUUAAAAUGAUUUUCAAUUUUAUACAUUUCAAUCAUUUUACAAUCAUUUUAACGUUUCAAAACUUGACUUCCUUCACCCUCUUUCUGUGGUUCCUUAGAUUUGUUUUUAAUAUUUUCCACAUAUCCAAAUUAAGUUAAUUUGCUCAUUUGUUCAUCUACUUUGAAUAUAUUCUCUUACAAAACUGCAGGUUAUUACAAUAAUCCUGCAAAUGUUCUUAUCUGUUUACAGUUUCUUUGUAAAUAUUCAAUAAACCACUUCCAUUCUUUU
rnacentral:lncRNA from 1 species